rnacentral:rRNA from 1 species
UACGAAGGGGGCUAGCGUUGUUCGGAAUCACUGGGCGUAAAGCGCACGUAGGCGGAUCUUUAAGUCAGAGGUGAAAGCCUGGAGCUCAACUCCAGAACUGCCUUUGAUACUGGGGAUCUCGAGUCCGGGAGAGGUGAGUGGAACUGCGAGUGUAGAGGUGAAAUUCGUAGAUAUUCGCAAGAACACCAGUGGCGAAGGCGGCUCACUGGCCCGGUACUGACGCUGAGGUGCGAAAGCGUGGGGAGCGAACAGG